GGGGACGUAACAAAGCGACCCAGGAAUGCUUGGGCGUGCCUCCACCCACGCCGGCGUCGGCGGGCGUAUUUCGCCUCACAGUAGGUCGCCGCGACCCGUUGCUUUUGGGGACGUCGAAGGCCCGGACGGAUUGGUACCCUACCGGCUGGGGAUGCGGCUUCGGCUUCUCCUCUUGUCCGGUGGGCGAAACCGCCGGUGUCCUGGCUGCCCUGCGACGGUCGUAGAGACGAGCCCCUCCCAUUCGUGGGGGGCGGCUCUCGCGGCGUGCAAAAGGUCGGUGAUCCACCCGACCCGUCUUGAAACACGGACCAAGGAGUCUAACAUGUGUGCGAGUCAGUGGGCGCACUAAACCCAGAGGCGUAAUGAAAGUGACACGGGUUCGGCUGUCGCCUCGUGUGGCAGCCGGACUCAGGGCCGAUCCCUCACCGGUUGCCCUCGCCUCUCUCCCGCGUCUCGGUAAGCCGGGUGAGCUAUUUUCCCCGGCCGCUGCUGCGGGGCGCGGGGGGUGGCGGGGUGCGAUGGUGUCCGUAAAAAAGAGCCUGCUGUUGCAGGGGGGCGCAGGCCCGGGACUUGCCAGGACGCCGCGAGACUGUCACUUUGCUGUGAGGCUCCAGGGCCGAUCAGCGGGUCAUGCGUGCAGUCGGCAAGUACCAUGAGCAGACAUGUUGGGACCCGAAAGAUGGUGAACUAUGCCUGGCCAGGAUGAAGCCAGAGGAAACUCUGGUGGAGGUCCGUAGCGAUUCUGACGUGCAAAUCGAUCGUCGGAGCUGGGUAUAGGGGCGA
rnacentral:rRNA from 1 species